CUCUGAGGGAGUCAGUGUGCUCUCAGAAUCCAGUCCUGUGGGCAAGCAGGAGGCGUAGUCUUUCUUCCCUUCCUUUCCCUAAGCUCACCAAGCUGUUCUUUUGAAACUUAUGACCAUCGCCCCAUCAAACCUUCUUCAACUUAAAGUCCAGGGCUGACCUGGGAGCCCUGCUUUGUUGGUAACGGGGAACACAAAAGCUGAAAAUGCCUGGAAGAGUGUGGCUUCCUGUAGCUGCAGGCCAGAGAUGUAACACCUGGGGCACUGGGUGGACCACAGAAAUAUGUUUGAUGAGAAAACUGCUAUUCUCCAUUUCUCUUCGUUGUUCUGAGCCAGGUCUCUGCCUCUUUCCUAGGGAGGAAAUUUGGUAGCAAGUGUCAGAAAAGUUAACGUCUAAGAUUGGAAUAGGUUCCUAGGGGAUGAAGGUGGGGAUGGUCAUCUCCCUUUCUACCAAACUUAGAGACAUAACGUGAUGACUCUCUUACCAUCCUUCACCCUCGCAUCUCUAGAAAGGACGAUUUUGGGGUAGCCCAGCAGCUGUAGCCUUAAGUGAAAUCGGGAGGAAAUUAUAGUUUAUCUUGGGUGUCCUCCUUUCUUUUCUGUGCCUCUCCCCUGUCCCUUUGCAUUGUUCUCUUCUCCUUCCAAGUUAUUUCUGUCCAGGAGAUUAUGUCCUCCAUCUGCUCUACCCAGAAGUGCCCAGACAGACCUCCUGGGGCAGGAGCACAUACUAGAAAAGGACUACACCUUUCUGCUUCUUCCACACUUCAUCACUACUCUGGUUCCUUUGGGGGGUUUAUCCUAGCUGGUAGUUAGGAGAAAAGCAUCUAAUUAAGAUAAUUCAAAUUAAAGUCAUGAAAAUGCUCUUCUUAAAGAGCUUGGCUAUUUCCCCAUACUCCUAAAAAUAGCCAACAUAGGCUACCCAAUUGGGCUGACAUGGGGGAAUCUUCUUUAAACCGUGACUCUCUCCUCUUUCUCCCUUUUAUAGUCUACAGUCUCUGUAGGCAACUUUAGAGAAGGCCAGACUCUCUUCCCUCCUCUCAUGCCUCACUGAGAAAUUUCCCAGAAAUUUAAGCUGGAAGCUAGGAAAUAACCCCAGUAAUGGUUUCCUGAAAUGCACUGGGCAUUUUCAACUUGACAGGUCCUUGAGUGAGUGUCUACAUCUCUGUAGCAGGAAGUUGCCAUGAUCCUUAUCACUCUUCCCUGGUCCCCUCAUAUCCCCAGAAAUCCAGAGCUUCCAGAAACAGAGUAGAUUGUUGACCUCAGGAGAAAGUAGAUGCAAUGGACUGUUUGUGAUGAGGGGGGAUUCGAUAAUCUCCUGGAACAGAAAUAAUGAAGAUGCAGGCCAGCCUUUACCAUUUAUGACCUGUUUUCUUGGUCUGAUUUGCCCCUUUGGGAGAAACUUAGGGGGCAGGAGCACAAGAAUGGGGGCCCAUAAACACGCCUCAUGUUCUCUGAAGUAAGGUUAAGAGGCAGCCUAGAUAAAAGCUCUCUUUCUGCUUGUCAGAGGCUACAGAGAUGGUGUGGUUCAGGUGUCUGUCACGGUUAAUUUCAUGGGUCAACUUGACUGGGUUAAGGGAUGCCCAGAUAGCUGGUAAAACAUUAGUUCUGAGGGUGCUUCUAGAAAAUAUUAACAUUUGAAUUGGAAGAUUGAUUUGAAGAAGUCAUGGUAAAGAAUCCUCACCAAUGUGGUUGGGCAUCAUCUAAUCCACUCAGGGCUCAAAUAGGGCAAAAAGGAAGAGGAAGAGUGAAUUUGCCCUCUGCUUGAGCUGGGAUAUCCUCUUCUCCUGCACUUGGACAUAGGCGCUCCUGGUUCUCAGGCCUUUAGACUUAGACCAGGACUUACACCAUCGGCCCCCUGAGUUUCAGGCCUUUGGACUCAGACUUACACCACUGGCUCCUCUGGUCCUCAGACUUUCGAAUGGGGACCAAAUUACACCAUUGGUUUUCUUGGUUCUCCAGCUGGCAGACUGUGGGACUUCUCGGCCAAUUCCUGUCAUCAAUCUUUCCAUAUAUCUGUAUCUCUAUCUAUGCAUCUAUAUCUAUAUUUUUAUUUAUCCUAUUGGUUCUGUUUCUCUGGAGAACUCUGACUAAAACAGCAUCUCUACAUAAUUUCCCCCAAAUCAAUAAGGGACUAAAUGGAGCUGAAGUUCUUAUUCUCCAUUUCAGUUUACUUCCUUAAGCAAAUGUGGAAUGUUGCGGAAGACAGAUCUUGUAUAUUCAUUAGGAUUUUGUCAGCUUAAAAGGCAAGAAGGGAGGGAUUUGUUGACUUGUGUACCAGGAAAUCUAAAACAUGACUCUUCAGAGGUGACUGGGUUUAGGGGUUUAAAUAAUGUCGUUAGCUCUGUCUCCCCAUCGUUGGCUUGUUUGCCCCUGUGUUGGCUUCAUUCCCAGGUAGGCUUUCCCCACCUUCUGGACAAGAUGGCCUCCAGCGGCAGUGGCUAUUACUUUGUUUAUGUCUUUCCCACUAUUCAAAAGUAUUCCUGUCCCUUCAAAAGGCCGAUAGGCCUGGCUUGGUCCAAGGGUCCUUACCUGAAGCGACCAUUACAGCUGGGAGGAUGAAGUCCCUGAUGGCUAGCUCACAUCUUGAGCCUGCCAUGUUCGGGAAGACCAGGCAGGGGAUUGGCCAUCCGGUUAGGUAGAGGAGGAACAAUUCUCAAAAGGAAAAUAUACUGGCAGAUAAAAAGUAACAUAUCCAUACAGUUUUAUACUAGCUCAAAAGCUAAUUCAAAUGAACAAGCAAUAGGGCGAGAGAUGUGAGCAAUACAGAGAUUUAUAAGACAGGCUUUUUGUCCUUAAAGAGCAUAUAAUCUAGUUGUUCUGGAAGUUGGCCACAUUCUUUAUUUAAUAAUUUGAGGAAACAUGAAUGACUUCAUUGGAAAAUAUUUUCUGAGUUCUUACUUAAUGCCGGGCAUCAUGCUAGAUUCCUGUCAUACAAGGAAGAAAGACAAACCUCUUCCCACGAGGAGCUUACAGUCAGGUGGGAGAGACAAGUAAACCAGCAAACGUUUUCAAUGCGGGGCCCCAAGAGCAAUGAUAGACGUGUGCACAGCUGUUAUGAGAGCCCCAAAGGCGCCUAUUCGACAUUAGGCUCAGAGGAGCUGACAUGUGAGCCAAAGCUGGAAAAGCAAGUGGGCGUCAGGUGAGGGUCGGGGAGGGUUUUGCAGGCAAAGGGACCAGCAUCUGCAAAGGUCCAGGGGUGUGCAGUAGGGUGCUGUGUUUAGAGAAUUGUAGAUAGUUUGAAUGAAGUUUAUGAGGGGAUACGAGACAGAUGAACCCAAAGAGGUAGGCAGGAGCCAGAUCACGGAGAGCCCUGUGCCAGACACACAGAUGUGAGCUUGUCCCUGAGGGAUUUUAAACAGGGCAUGGACGUGUCCAGAUCCGCAACUGAGCAUGCAGCUUCUGGCAACAGAUGGAGUAGAGUGAGCCAGACCGGAGGCACGAGGAGUAGUGAGAAGGCUGCUGUGGGAGAGGGCGGAAGAUAUGAAGAGGACUUCCUCACAGAGAAUGCCAGCUCGUAAAGUAGGAGAACUAGCAAAAUCACCAUUUUACAACCCCGAUUAAGGUGAUGCUGGAGAAUUGGGGAAUGAAGUGUCUUGAUAUCGUCAACCUACUUUCAAAUGGCUCCAGAAAAUGUUUAAGAUGUUAAGGAGAGACUGUAACAGGAGUAACUCGCGGACUCUUCCGAUGAUUUCUACUGCCCUUGGAAACCUCCGUAUCACUCCUGCAAUUCCUAACACCUGAUUCUUCUCGUCUCAGAGCAAGAGGGGAGAAGAGCCUUGGCUCAAGGUUGAAGCGGGGCUGGGCAUGUCCUAGGAACACGGCUCCUCCGCGGGGAAUGCGCCUGAGAGCUGGGCUGUCAGUUGGCAGGGAUGUUGUUAUCAGCACUCUGCUGUUCAACUUCACUAUUUGUUCCAAAAAUGGUCAUUGUGAUAACUCAGAAUUAAAUCUCUGGCUGUCCCUUUAACCAUGUGGUUAGCGGCCUGAAUUGCUUAUCCCCAGAGCUGCCUGUGGGUCAUGGGGAGAAAAAACAAGGACAGUGUGUUUCCUUGACUCAGACAAGCUUGCUCCAGGCCAAUGUGGUGACACACUUGUCUCCCUUCCAUUAUCUGGGGCCUGACCCCAGCAUGACACAUUUCCCCGGCCUGAGGCUAGAGGUGUCAGACAGAUCCCGGCUCCAAACAGAAGGUCA
rnacentral:lncRNA from 1 species